rnacentral:rRNA from 1 species
UACGGAGGGUGCAAGCGUUAUCCGGAUUUACUGGGUUUAAAGGGUGCGUAGGUGGGUUGGUAAGUCAGUGGUGAAAUACUUUCGCUUAACGAAGGAACUGCCAUUGAUACUACCAGUCUUGAAUACAGUGGAGGUAGGCGGAAUGCGUCAUGUAGCGGUGAAAUGCUUAGAUAUGACGCAGAACACCAAUUGCGAAGGCAGCUUGCUACACUGUUAUUGACACUGAGGCACGGAAAGCGUGGGGAUCAAACAGG